rnacentral:rRNA from 1 species
CCUACGGGCGGCAGCAGUGAGGAAUAUUGGUCAAUGGGCGCGAGCCUGAACCAGCCAAGUCGCGUGAGGGAAGACGGUCCUAUGGAUUGUAAACCUCUUUUGUCGGGGAGCAAAAGACGCCACGUGUGGCGUUCCGAGAGUACCCGAAGAAAAAGCAUCGGCUAACUCCGUGCCAGCAGCCGCGGUAAUACGGAGGAUGCGAGCGUUAUCCGGAUGUAUUGGGUUUAAAGGGUGCGCAGGCGGAAGAUCAAGUCAGCGGUAAAAUUGAGAGGCUCAACCUCUUCGAGCCGUUGAAACUGGUUUUCUUGAGUGAGCGAGAAGUAUGCGGAAGGCGUGGUGGAGCGGUGAAAUGCAUAGAUAUCACGCAGAACUCCGAUUGCGAAGGCAGCAUACCGGCGCUCAACUGACGCUCAUGCACGAAAGUGUGGGUAUCGAACAGGAUUAGAUACCCCUGUAGUC